rnacentral:rRNA from 1 species
AGAGUUUGAUCCUGGCUCAGGAUGAACGCUAGCGGCAGGCCUAAUACAUGCAAGUCGAGCGGGUCGCAAGACCAGCGGCAAACGGGUGCGUAACGCGUAAGCAACCUGCCCUCAACUGGGGGAUAGCCCUGCGAAAGCGGGGGUAAACCCGCAUAGUCCCCUGGAGUCACCUGGCUGUUUGGGUAAACAUUUAUGGGUUGAGGAGGGGCUUGCGUCUGAUUAGCUAGUUGGGGGGGUAACGGCCCACCAAGGCGAUGAUCAGUAGGGGUUCUGAGAGGAUUGGCCCCCACACGGGUACUGAGAGACGGACCCGACUCUACGGGAGGCAGCAGUAGGGAAUAUUGGGCAAUGGAGGCAACUCUGACCCAGCCAUGCCGCGUGCAGGAUGAAGGCGCUCAGCGUUGUAAACUGCUUUUAUCAGGGAAGAACUGUAGUCUGCGGGAUUAUUUGACGGUACCUGAGGAAUAAGCACCGGCUAACUCCGUGCCAGCAGCCGCGGUAAUACGGAGGGUGCAAGCGUUGUCCGGAUUUAUUGGGUUUAAAGGGUGCGUAGGUGGGGUCUCAAGUCUGGUUUGAAAGUCGGCGGCUUAACCGUUGGAUGUGGCUGGAAACUGGGAUUCUUGAAUGCGCUGGCGGUAGCCGGAACGGGUCAUGUAGCGGUGAAAUGCAUAGAUAUGACCCAGAACACCGAUUGCGAAGGCAGGCUACUACGGCGUGAUUGACACUGAGGCACGAGAGCAUGGGUAGCGAACAGGAUUAGAUACCCUGGUAGUCAAUCGAAUUCCCGGCSCC